AUUGAACGCUAGCGGGAUGCUUUACACAUGCAAGUCGAACGAGUGGCGGACGGGUGAGUAAUAUAUCGGAACGUGCCCAGUAGCGGGGGAUAACUACUCGAAAGAGUGGCUAAAACCGCAUACUAUUGGCGCGGCCGAUUUCGGAUUAGCUAGUUGGUGGGGUAAAGGCUCAACAAGGCAACGAUCCGUAGCCGGUGUGAGAGGAAGACCAGCCACACUGGGACUGGUACACGGCCCAGACUCCUACGGGAGGCAGCAGUGGGGAAUUUUGGAAAAUGGGGGAAACCCUGAUCCAGCCAUCCCGCGGGUAUGAGAAGGCCUUCGGGUUGUAAAGUACUUUUGGCAGGGAAGCGGUAUCUGAAGAAUAAGCAACGGCUAACUACGUGCCAGCAGCCGCGGUAAUAC
rnacentral:rRNA from 1 species